UACGUAGGAUGCAAGCGUUGUCCGGAAUUAUUGGGCGUAAAGAGCUCGUAGGCGGCUUGUCGCGUCGACCGUGAAAACUUGGGGCUCAACCCCAAGCCUGCGGUCGAUACGGGCAGGCUAGAGUUCGGUAGGGGAGACUGGAAUUCCUGGUGUAGCGGUGAAAUGCGCAGAUAUCAGGAGGAACACCGGUGGCGAAAGCGGCUUCCUGGCCCGACACUGACGCUCAUGUACGAAAGCGUGGGGAGCAAACAGG
rnacentral:rRNA from 1 species